rnacentral:rRNA from 1 species
AGAGUUUGAUCAUGGCUCAGAUUGAACGCUGGCGGCAGGCCUAACACAUGCAAGUCGAACGGUAACAGGAAGCAGCUUGCUGCUUCGCUGACGAGUGGCGGACGGGUGAGUAAUGUCUGGGAAGCUGCCUGAUGGAGGGGGAUAACUACUGGAAACGGUAGCUAAUACCGCAUAAUGUCGCAAGACCAAAGAGGGGGACCUUCGGGCCUCUUGCCAUCGGAUGUGCCCAGAUGGGAUUAGCUUGUUGGUGGGGUAACGGCUCACCAAGGCGACGAUCCCUAGCUGGUCUGAGAGGAUGACCAGCCACACUGGAACUGAGACACGGUCCAGACUCCUACGGGAGGCAGCAGUGGGGAAUAUUGCACAAUGGGCGCAAGCCUGAUGCAGCCAUGCCGCGUGUAUGAAGAAGGCCUUCGGGUUGUAAAGUACUUUCAGCGGGGAGGAAGGGAGUAAAGUUAAUACCUUUGCUCAUUGACGUUACCCGCAGAAGAAGCACCGGCUAACUCCGUGCCAGCAGCCGCGGUAAUACGGAGGGUGCAAGCGUUAAUCGGAAUUACUGGGCGUAAAGCGCACGCAGGCGGUUUGUUAAGUCAGAUGUGAAAUCCCCGGGCUCAACCUGGGAACUGCAUCUGAUACUGGCAAGCUUGAGUCUCGUAGAGGGGGGUAGAAUUCCAGGUGUAGCGGUGAAAUGCGUAGAGAUCUGGAGGAAUACCGGUGGCGAAGGCGGCCCCCUGGACGAAGACUGACGCUCAGGUGCGAAAGCGUGGGGAGCAAACAGGAUUAGAUACCCUGGUAGUCCACGCCGUAAACGAUGUCGACUUGGAGGUUGUGCCCUUGAGGCGUGGCUUCCGGAGCUAACGCGUUAAGUCGACCGCCUGGGGAGUACGGCCGCAAGGUUUAAACUCAAAUGAAUUGACGGGGGCCCGCACAAGCGGUGGAGCAUGUGGUUUAAUUCGAUGCAACGCGAAGAACCUUACCUGGUCUUGACAUCCACGGAAGUUUUCAGAGAUGAGAAUGUGCCUUCGGGAACCGUGAGACAGGUGCUGCAUGGCUGUCGUCAGCUCGUGUUGUGAAAUGUUGGGUUAAGUCCCGCAACGAGCGCAACCCUUAUCCUUUGUUGCCAGCGGUCCGGCCGGGAACUCAAAGGAGACUGCCAGUGAUAAACUGGAGGAAGGUGGGGAUGACGUCAAGUCAUCAUGGCCCUUACGACCAGGGCUACACACGUGCUACAAUGGCGCAUACAAAGAGAAGCGACCUCGCGAGAGCAAGCGGACCUCAUAAAGUGCGUCGUAGUCCGGAUUGGAGUCUGCAACUCGACUCCAUGAAGUCGGAAUCGCUAGUAAUCGUGGAUCAGAAUGCCACGGUGAAUACGUUCCCGGGCCUUGUACACACCGCCCGUCACACCAUGGGAGUGGGUUGCAAAAGAAGUAGGUAGCUUAACCUUCGGGAGGGCGCUUACCACUUUGUGAUUCAUGACUGGGGUGAAGUCGCAACAAGGUA